rnacentral:rRNA from 1 species
AUUGAACGCUGGCGGCAUGCCUUACACAUGCAAGUCGAACGGCAGCACGGGAGCAAUCCUGGUGGCGAGUGGCGAACGGGUGAGUAAUAUAUCGGAACGUGCCCAGUCGUGGGGAUAACGUAGCGAAAGCUACGCUAAUACCGCAUACGAUCUAUGGAUGAAAGCGGGGGGAUCGCAAGACCUCGCGCGAUUGGAGCGGCCGAUAUCAGAUUAGGUAGUUGGUGAGGUAAAGGCUCACCAAGCCGACGAUCUGUAGCUGGUCUGAGAGGACGACCAGCCACACUGGGACUGAGACACGGCCCAGACUCCUACGGGAGGCAGCAGUGGGGAAUUUUUGGACAAUGGGCGCAAGCCUGAUCCAGCAAUGCCGCGUGCAGGAUGAAGGCC